rnacentral:lncRNA from 1 species
AAUAAAUAAGGUAAUAUAAUAAUAGCAAUAAUAAUUUUAAAUUCAUUUAAUAAAAUAGCCAAAAUAACAAAAUAGGAUCAAAUUGAGCUUUAGAACAAAACUUUGGGGCAAAUUAGAAAUAAACGUAACAUGGAGGACUAGAUUGAACACGCGGAUAAGAUAGAGGGACUGAAUGGGAAAUAAUUCCCACCCUCCAAAACGCACAGUUCCAUCAGGGACUAAAAUCAAAGCUGGAAUAAAUUAUAGGGCAAAAUAAAAAAUAAAAAAAAACUUGAUUGUAAAUAAUAAAAAGGGCGGAACGGCCAGAAGCGCAAAUAGACCCUUCCACAAAAACACGUGGAUCCUGAGGUUGGAGCGGGUCAGGUCGCGGGUUCAUAACCAAAACGGCGCCGUUUUGGUGCCUGAGAAGCCUGCCCAAAAUGACGUCCUUUUGGGGGCCUAUAAAAGUCAAGUUUUAAACAAAAAAAAAUCAUUUAGCCCUUAGUUUCAGAAAAAAAAACCUGAGAGCUCUCCCCUCCCC